rnacentral:rRNA from 1 species
CCCUUAGAUGUUCUGGGCUGCACGCGCGCUACACUGAUGCACUCAACGAGUUUACGACCUUGCCCGAUAGGGUUGGGUAAUCUUUUUAAAAUGCAUCGUGAUGGGGAUAGAUUAUUGCAAUUAUUAAUCUUCAACGAGGAAUGCCUAGUAAGCGCAAGUCAUCAGCUUGCGUUGAUUACGUCCCUGCCCUUUGUACACACCGCCCGUCGCUCCUACCGAUUGAAUGGUCCGGUGAAGCGUUUGGACUAUGGUUUUCUGAUGGUCCGCCGUUGGAUUACCGUGGGAAGUUCGUUAAACCUUAUCAUUUAGAGGAAGGAGAAGUCGUAACA